GAAGAUCAGUGAGCAGUAAAUGCAUGGUGAAAGCGUAUCUAACAUAAUCAAGUCUAAUUGAAAAAGCAAUAUAAACAGUAGUGGAAAGUUUGUUUCACACAAAUUGCAAAAGCUUCCAAUCCAACUAAAGGAAGUAGGACCAGCACAAUUAAAGAAAUGCACUGUUGACGGAAAACCACUAGUUCAAAUUUCAGAAAAUGGAUUUGUGAGAGUCUAUUAGGUAUGUCUUCAGAAAUCCAUAGUUAAAAGAAAUGAUUCGACCAAAUCAGUGGUUGCAGUCAUAUUGAAAAUGAUGAUGGACUCAUUCCAGCAUCAAUAUCCACGACAAUGCUUUGGACAACAAGAAAAGGGUAAAGGCUUGAUCAGACUAUUCUUAUGAUUAUGUAUAUCUCAAGGAGGACUUGCUGC
rnacentral:misc_RNA from 1 species